CAGUGCACGUCGCCCUGCCCAGCCCGGGGCCUCUCCUGUGCGUCUCGCGCCCGGGCGCGUCCCUUCUGUUCGCGCGCCUCCUCAGCGCGCGUUCGGCUCGCUGAGAGGCCGGGAUUUUGAAGGAAGUGCUGUGGGAGCACAGGUGGAAGAAGGAGCUCAGUUUGUCAUCUGUAUCCAGGAAACCAGGAGGUGACUGUGAGCCAGAUUUUGAAGGAUGAGCACGUGUUUUGCUGGCUUAAGAAGAGGAAAACAGCAUUCCUGGCAUAUACAAGAGCACAUGUACAGCCAGCUAAGGAUGCACCACGCCUUCCCUGCGCACUUUUGCUGUUGUCAGUCUAUUUGAAUACUGGAUUUUGAUUUGUUUUCCUGAGACACUGAUGUUAUCAUGUCACUCCUUGACUCCAAAAUUUACAACAUCUGCUGUUGUCAGUUAGAUAAAGGUCAAAUUCUUCAACUUGCCACUCAGAAUUCUAUAUUUUUAUUUCACUAUGAAAAUACUGAAAGUGAAUCCCCAAAGUCUCUUUCUACCUUUUAAAAUGUAAUAAACGAAAAGUGAUUUAAGAGUAAUAGUGUAAUUUUAACCUUGAAUUAAACUCCCUGACAGGGAAGAUAACUCCUUGAUCUCCCCAUGCUACUGAAUUAUAGAACACAGAGGAUAGUUGUCACACUCAAUAAUGUGUUAGCCUGUUGUAGGUACACAGCAAAGGAAACAUUGUUUUGGAGUAAGAAAUAUUUUGGAUAGGUCUCCUCACAGUUCUAAGUCAUUCCAUAGUGGAAUUUGUUGGAAGUGUGAGAGCCUCCAAUUCCAGUCAAGAGAGGGUUCCAUGUAGCUACACAAUAGAAUAGACCUGGUCACAUAUAGCCACAUAGCACUUGAAAUGUGGCUAGUCAGCUGAGGAACUGAAUAUUUUUAGCUAAUUUAAGUUUAAAAUAUAAAAUGGUUUUCUGUAUUCAUAGCUUUAUUGUUUUGGAAGGACUACAUUUCACUUUAACCUUUGAAAAUUUAGCAUCUGACUUGAGAUGUAUACUGAGUGUAAACAACAUUACCACAUUUCAAAAACUUAGGCUGAAAAAAGUAAAAUUUCUCAGUGUAUUUUCAUAGUGAUUACAUAUUGAAAUAAUAGUUUGGAUAUUUUGGUUUAAAUAAAACAGUGUUAAAAUUAA